UACGAACCGUCCAAACGUUAUUCGGAAUUACUGGGCUUAAAGGGUACGUAGGCGGCGCUUCAAGUCGGGUGUGAAAUCCCUCGGCUCAACCGAGGAACUGCGCCCGAUACUGGAGUGCUCGAGGGAGACAGAGGUAAGCGGAACUGAUGGUGGAGCGGUGAAAUGCGUUGAUAUCAUCAGGAACACCGGUGGCGAAAGCGGCUUACUGGGUCUCUUCUGACGCUCAGACGCGAAAGCAUGGGUAGCGAACGGG
rnacentral:misc_RNA from 1 species